rnacentral:rRNA from 1 species
GACGAACGCUGGCGGCGUGCCUAAUACAUGCAAGUCGAGCGGACUUGACAGAGCUUGCUCUGUUCAAGUUAGCGGCGGACGGGUGAGUAACACGUGGGCAACCUGCCCUGCAGAUUGGGAUAACUCCGGGAAACCGGGGCUAAUACCGAAUAACAUUGAAAACCUCAUGGUUUUCUUUUAAAAGGCGGCUUCGGCUGUCACUGCAGGAUGGGCCCGCGGCGCAUUAGCUAGUUGGUGAGGUAACGGCUCACCAAGGCAACGAUGCGUAGCCGGCCUGAGAGGGUGAUCGGCCACACUGGGACUGAGACACGGCCCAGACUCCUACGGGAGGCAGCAGUAGGGAAUCUUCCGCAAUGGACGAAAGUCUGACGGAGCAACGCCGCGUGAGUGAAGAAGGUUCUCGGAUCGUAAAACUCUGUUGUUAGGGAAGAACAAGUAUCGGAGUAACUGCCGGUACCUUGACGGUACCUGACCAGAAAGCCACGGCUAACUACGUGCCAGCCGCCGCCGUAACAC